GAGUAACACGUGGGUAACCUGCCCAUCAGAGGGGGAUAACACUUGGAAACAGGUGCUAAUACCGCAUAAUAGUCGACACCGCAUGGUGUUGAUUUGAAAGACGCUUUCGGGUGUUACUGAUGGAUGGACCCGCGGUGCAUUAGCUAGUUGGUGAGGUAACGGCUCACCAAGGCGAUGAUGCAUAGCCGACCUGAGAGGGUGAUCGGCCACACUGGGACUGAGACACGGCCCAGACUCCUACGGGAGGCAGCAGUAGGGAAUCUUCGGCAAUGGACGAAAGUCUGACCGAGCAACGCCGCGUGAGUGAAGAAGGUUUUCGGAUCGUAAAACUCUGUUGUUAGAGAAGAACAAGUAGGAGAGUAACUGCUCUUACCUUGACGGUAUCUAACCAGAAAACCACGGCUAACUACGUGCCAGCAGCCGCGGUAAUACGUAGUGGCAAGCGUUGUCCGGAUUUAUUGGGCGUAAAGCGAGCGCAGCGGUUUCUUAAGUCUGAUGUGAAAGCCCCCGGCUCAACCGGGGAGGGUCAUUGGAAACUGGGAGACUUGAGUGCARAAGARGAGAGUGGAAUUCCAUGUGUAGCGGUGAAAUGCGUAGAUAUAUGGAGGAACACCAGUGGC
rnacentral:rRNA from 1 species